rnacentral:rRNA from 1 species
UACAGAGGUGGCAAGCGUUGUUCGGAAUUACUGGGCGUAAAGGGCCAGUAGGCGGCCAACUAAGUCCGACGUGAAAUCCCUCGGCUUAACCGGGGAACUGCGCCUGAUACUGGAUGGCUUGAGAUUGGGAGAGGGAUGCGGAAUUCCAGGUGUAGCGGUGAAAUGCGUAGAUAUCUGGAGGAACACCGGUGGCGAAGGCGGCAUCCUGGACCAACACUGACGCUGAGGAGCGAAAGCCAGGGGAGCAAACGGG